ensembl:lncRNA
GAGACUUCUGUGCCUGUUAGCAAAGGAAAGCAAAGAACUGGGAGCUCUGAAGGGGGGUUAUGGGGAAGAAAACACCAGGAAACACAGAAAAUGAGAUGAGGUGCAGAGAAAACCUGGCGGGGGUGAGUUGGGGUUUGAUUUUGGAUAGCCUUGGUAAUAAGUGCUCACUAAAUUCAAAUUAUUGUUCUAUUAUUAACAUUAUCAUCCAAUGCUGGGAAGCAACUAACCCAGAGAGUUUUGUUUGUCUGCUUUGGUUUGGUUUGUUUUUUCGCACUUGGAGGGAGGAGAAAUUUGCUCAGGCUCUGUAACUUUGCGCAGUCAGAUGGGUGGCCCGCCAGCACAGGUCACCCGAGUUCCCCCUGACGUGGGCAGCCCUGCUGGCUUCUACCUUCCUGGGGCUAGUAUGCAAAUUCCCGCACCACGUCAACCACAACUGGAAUCAAACCAACUCCAGCAACUCCCUCCAAUUCAGAGGCGACAGACACCGGGUCCCACUGGUCUUUCUCGUGAAAUGAGACCCAGCUGGGACCUGAGGAGAAACUUGCUUUCAAAAAACUAAGUUCUCCGACCGCAUCCGCUGUAGGGCCGCCAGCUGCAGCAGACCUGGGCCGGGGCCGGCCGCACCGGUCACGCCACCGGAGGAAGCAGAGCCGUGAAGGGAAUACCCGCCGCACCAGGCUCCCCGAACCUUUGUCCGCGCUCCCCGCGCAACCUCGAGGGCCAGGCCCAGCGAUUCGGGAGCUCCGGCUAACAGCCCCGGACGCCUACCCCACGCCCCGCGCGCGCUCCGUACAGCUGCACGCCGGGGUGCAGCCUCACCUCGCGCGGCUCGCACUCGGCGGAGCCUUCAAAGCCAGUGGAUCCAAGACGUCCCUGAGACACAGAGCCGGUCCCGAUCCCGCGGAGCUCGGAGCACGCCGGGCUCUCGCCAGAGCCUCUGCUCGGGUACGCUGCCUCUGGGCUGGCGGCGGGCGGGGCGGCCCUAGAGAAAGCGCGCCGCUGAAUCCCGCCCGCGCCGCGGCCGCCUGGCUCCCCAGGCCACGCCCCCGACCCGCAUUGGCCACGCCUCCAGCCCCGUUCUCUGUCCACUUAGGCCACGCCCCGACCAGGCUCUCCCUCCACACCCCCGGCCCUGCCACGCCCCUCGUCCAGGGACCCCGCCAAGACCGUCCUUGCCAACAGCCCGGCUGCCCCCACCCUCUUCCCAGCCACUCCCAAGCCUCCAUGGCAUCCCCCAUCUCCGAUCAGGUUAUCCCCCCAGCCACGCCCCUGGCCCUGCUACGCUUUCCCCCAACUCCAGCUCUUCUUGCCCUCAGCUACACCCCGAGCCCGGCUCCCUUCCAACCACCCCCAGCGACUACCCCAUACCACCACCCUCGGCCCGCCACCCCUAAGCCAGGCUCCCCCAGCCUCACGAGCCCAGGGCGGGAGGCGCCGCCUCAUCGCCCAAGCAAAUCCCCCCCGCCCCCGUCCACUCGCCCCACCUCUGCCUGGGCUUCGAGUUCGCUUUAGGCGAAGGAGCCAAGGCUGUGCGCAUUUCCGAGCAAAGAAAACACUAGGUGUGGAUUUUUAAAACCACCCUUCUCCCCAGGAACUAGGGCGAGUCUUAUGUGUACUGUUCAGUGAACCCACUCAAAGCACUACCACCUUUUUGAUGUGGCCCAAGGGGUAAUCAGUACUAUCACAUGAAAACCACAGAGGCGAAGCAGGCCCUUCUGUGCUAGGAUGUGGACCCCAAAUACUCGUCAUUGUUUACAUGCAACUAAUGAAACUU